AUUGAACGCUGGCGGCAUGCCUUACACAUGCAAGUCGAACGGAUCCUUCGGGAUUAGUGGCGGACGGGUGAGUAAUACGUGGGAACGUGCCCUUUGGUUCGGAACAACUCAGGGAAACUUGAGCUAAUACCGGAUGUGCCCUUCGGGGGAAAGAUUUAUCGCCAUUGGAGCGGCCCGCGUCUGAUUAGCUAGUUGGUGAGGUAAAGGCUCACCAAGGCGACGAUCAGUAGCUGGUCUGAGAGGAUGAUCAGCCACAUUGGGACUGAGACACGGCCCAAACUCCUACGGGAGGCAGCAGUGGGGAAUCUUGCGCAAUGGGCGAAAGCCUGACGCAGCCAUGCCGCGUGAAUGAUGAAGGUCUUAGGAUUGUAAAAUUCUUUCUCCGGGGACGAUAAUGACGGUACCCGGAGAAGAAGCCCCGGCUAACUUCGUGCCAGCCGCCGCCGUAA
rnacentral:rRNA from 1 species